CCCAACCUCAAAUUAGAGGUAUCACGUUCAAAAUAUUGCAUCUCUCCCUCUCUCAUAGAGCCGCCGCUGUUGCUCACCACCCAUCACACCUGUUGUUGCUACUCACAGCUUUCCGAUUUCAAGAGCCCAUCCUUCCCCAACAAUGGUUGAUUUUCUGUAAUUGCCCCUACAGAAGUUAUAAGUUCGUCUAGUUCCUUUACACGCAGCUCGCCCUCAUCCCCUAUAGAAGUAUUCAAUUGGAAGGUUCAAACUGCAGAAAAUUGAGAAAGAAGUAAUUUUAUUAAGGGCAAAUGGGUCAAAUCACAUGAUCCAAAUAUACUUCUUCCCCAAAUCAGGAAACAGUCGAUCGUGUCGUUGUUCCAAAAACUAUGUCGAUCCCAAAUCUGAAAAUUGUCGAUCUCGGAAAAUUGCUAGGGUAAAAAACGCCAUUAUCGAUCGGACAUCACUCUAUAAGUAGAUUUUUCUCGAUCGUCCCUACCAGAAGCCAGAACCUAUUGAUUGGGAGUACUACAGGAAAGAAAAUAUGUUACAAUUCUUAUUAAGAGACACAUUAAAACGAAAGCAUACAAGUGUACGUUUCAUAAACAAACGUACCAAUGAUGCAAAAUCUGUUGGUAAUAUAUUUGUCCCAUUAUCUACACCAGCAUUAUCUACACCAGCAUUGUCGUCAUCAUCAUCUCGUACCACAUUAUCAUCUGUUGGUACUGUAUCUACCCCAGCAUUUGUUUCACAUGUUGGUACUAUGGGUGCCACAUUAUCAACACAUGCAUCAUCCAUACCUCCAUCAUCCAACCAGUCAUUCUUACCUACAUCAUCCACCUAAUCAUUUGUACCUACAUCUAUCCAAUCAUCUGUACCUACAUCUACUACAUCAUCUGUACCUACAUCCACAACAAAUUGUAGUGAAUCGGUUAAGGAAAAUGUUGGCGUUCAACAUCAAGAGUAUUUACUUGGAUCUACAGGACUGAAUGGGGUCUAUAUAUUGGAGUGUGAGAUAAGGAGUUAUUUCCUUCGGGCCCAUGUUCUGCCGUUAUCUAUGAAUCCUUUGGUGAAAGAGCUGAUUUAAAUGGGUAUAGUUGGGCACCUUCAAGCGACGAGACAAAACUCCUUUAUUGGGACGAGUUUCAUAAAAAGUGCUAUUGGGAUGAUGCAAAAACUCCAUUAGUCCAGGCUUGUUGGGAAAAUAAGGCAAAGGAAAGAUAUAGACAAUAUAUCUACAAUAUAAGCUCAAAAUGGUAAAAGUCGACUCUAAAAAAACCUGUUAAUAUAACAUCAGAAGUGUGGACAUCCUAGACUGCAAGAUGGAAUACUGAAGAGUUCAAGAAGAAAUUAGAACAAAACAAAAAAAAAUAAGCGUAGAGGUGUAGCUGUUGGACAAGCCCUUUCUACGCAUACCGAUGGAUCGGCUUCUCAUUCCAAGAUUGCUUCUGAUUUAAAGAAGCUUCGGGGACAUGAUCCGGCACACCAUGAACUAUUUGUGUAUACACACACUAAGAAUCACGAUGGAGUGACUUUUUUAGUUGACAAAGCUAAAAAAUUCAUGAUGAUUUUAUGGAACGAUGUGAUCAGUUGGAAGCAAUAGGAGACGAAAUUGAUGAGGACAAACUAUUUUAUGAUGUUGUUGGGGGGCAUGAUCGAAAAAAGAGAUUAUAUGGAUUUGGAUCAUAUGGAAAGUGCAUUCGUUCUAGUAAAGGAUCUUCUGAAAUGCAUCGCGAAUAACGAGGAUAAUAAUGCCGAGACAAAAGUCGAGAUUGAGAAUUUGAAGAAGUUAGUUGAGACACAACGCGAACAAUAUGAGGAUAUUCAACAAAAAUAUGAGGAUGUUCAGCAAAAAGAUGAGGAUGCUCAGAAAAAGAAUGUAGAGUUUCAGCAGAAAAAUGUGGAUGUUCAAGCAAAGUUUGAACAACAACUUGCACAAGCAAUGAAUGUCAUUAACACAUUGAGUGAACAGGUCAAAACUUUUAUUAAUCAAUGAUAGAAUAUUAUGUAUCGAAUAAUGUUUUACAUUAAAUUUGUAGCGACUUUUGAUUUUGAAAUAUGUAUCUUUUGAUGUAUUGGAUAUUUCUUUUAGUUUCUAUAGAAAUACUUUGUUAUUUUUGGUUUUA